UUUGAAUUUCCAGAACCAAAUGAGGUUAGGGAAACACCCUGCGUUUGCAGAUCUCACGUUCUCAGUUUCAUCAGAAGUUUGCUGAGCAUCGAGGACGUGUGUGCCCAGCGCCGUGCGCCAGGCCCCGGGCACAGGAAGCUCGUGCCAUGUGGCGAUGCCUUCACGCCUUGCACCGGAUGGAUUGGCACCGGCCCUGGUGAGGCCCCAGACGCGCCCAGGAAGGGUCCCGCCAGGCAGCCGAGCGCACGGAGCACAGCGUGGGGUGGCUCACUUCGUUGCGCAAGAAUGACGGGCCCAUUGUGGGUGUCUGUGCGGAUGUGUGAGAAAUAAAAGAUUCUGGAGAUACAGAAACAAAGGAAACACGAGGGUUUCUCGCCCUACAAGUUUGCUUACAGCCCUGGCUGGUUUGGCUCAGUGGAUAGAGCGUUGGCCCGCGGGCUGAAAGGUCCCAGGUUCGGUUCCCAUCAAGGACACAUACAGAAGAUCCAGCCCCUCCCUGCCCCUGGGUGGCCCUGCGCCCAUCACCCAGCAUCUCCUCCCGGGAGGAGCCUGCCUGGCCCCUCUGGUCCCAGAAAACCUCCCGUCCUGAGAGGGAAGCUGGGCAGCCCCGCGGCUGCAGCUGCUCUCACGGAGGAGCGAGACCAGGGCUGACAAGGCCGGCCUCUGUCCACAUCUCCAAGGAGGCACAGAAACCUCAUUCCAGCGGAGUUUCCUUCGGAGAGAGAGCCCAGCAGACUCUUGACAAACAAAGUGACUUCAAAGACAGCGGAGCUCAUGGUGAUGGCCCGGGCGCUUCCAGGCAAUUACUUCUGCGUGUGCGGCGUUCCUGGGCCCCCCAUUGUCUGGGUAGGUCCGGUGGUAAGAUCCAGGGCGAGGGAUCCGGGGAACCGGGUUCGAGUCAUAGCUCGGCCCUUGCCUGUGUGCCCUCCUCCCUGAGCCUCCCUCUCUUCGUUUGCAAAAUGAAGGUGGUUGAGUUUGACAUGUCUCGGGGGGUUUCCAGGUCUGGAAAGGCCGCUGGUUCGGGUUGAUUGUGCCGGUAUGCGGGAGAUACUCCUGGUUGAGGGCACUCUGGUAGCACGGGCUGGGGGCAGCAGCGGAGACCUCAAUCAAGCAGCCUGCCCGUGCACUGACUCACCCACCGUGGCCUUGAACUACUCACUGGCCCGCUUUGUGAGUCCUUCUUAUCGGAGAGAGGAGGUUCUGCAGUCUGGCCCCUGACAUAGCAGCUUAGAUAUGCGACCAGCCUGAAUGACGAGGGUGAAAAGUACUUUGUGUGUCUAGGGCUAAAAUGGUUAUUCCUCUUGGAAGAUAAGUUUUAAACGUGCUAGCCCCCCAAUAUAUUUUUUGAUUACCCAAAAACAGAGUCAUAAAAAGUCAAUAUUCUUUACUCUUGGCUUUCCUUACAUUGCUUCUGGUUCAGAGAAGGCACGUACCAGGCAGGCAGCACGGGCUGUGAGAAUCAGGGUUUCUCCCUCCUACGUCGGCCAGAGCAACAACAUUCCUUGUUUUUGUCAUGUUGCUACUCUGCUCAGAAACCGUCAGGAUUCCCCUGACAUCUGAGGUCCGAUCCAAACUGACAUGUAAUUCCUGUGAUGACCUGGCUCCAACCUGCAUGAUCUGUCCUCCUGCCUGAAAUCGCAGAAUUCGCUAGGCCCUACACAAUGGUGCCACACUCACCCCGUCAGGGCCACCUGACAAGUGGACAGCAGGUCUCUGUAGACACAGUGAUGGGGAGAAGCCUCUGGUACUUUUCAAAUCACCCCUAAUUAUUGGAGACGUCUCCCCUGUGUUGGAUCAGAACCUGCCUCAUCAUAAACCCCAACUACCCACCGGUCCUGUCGGAGCCGCUCUGAUGCAGCUCUGUUCAGCCUCCUCCGUGUCUGAAGAAGCCAUCAUGCCACCCCUGAGAAAUCUCUUUUCCAGACUCAACAACUGCAGUGUCUUGAACCGAUUUCAUUGGCUAAAUAUUGCUGCCCUUCCCUCUGCCUGAACAUGCUUCACAUGGUCACCAUCUCUUUUCAAAAAGUGACCCUUUAGCCUGGGCUGGUGUGGCUCAGUGGUUGGGUGUCAACCUGUGAACCAGGGGGUCGAGGUUCGAUUCCUGGUCAGGGCACAUGGCCGGGUUUCAGACUCGAUCACCAGUGGGUGGGCGUGCAGGAGGGAUCCGAUCAAUGAU